rnacentral:rRNA from 1 species
AGCGAACGCUGGCGGCAGGCCUAACACAUGCAAGUCGAACGAACCCUUCGGGGUUAGUGGCGGACGGGUGAGUAACACGUGGGAACGUACCUUUAGGUUCGGAACAACACAGGGAAACUUGUGCUAAUGCCGAAUGUGCCCUUCGGGGAAAAGAUUUAUCGCCUUUAGAGCGGCCCGCGUCUGAUUAGCUUGUUGGUGAGGUAAAGGCUCACCAAGGCUACGAUCAAUAGCUGGUCUGAGAGGAUGAUCAGCCACACUGGGACUGAGACACGGCCCAGACUCCUACGGGAGGCAGCAGUGGGGAAUCUUGCGCAAUGGGCGAAAGCCUGACGCAGCCAUGCCGCGUGAAUGAUGAAGGUCUUAGGAUUGUAAAAUUCUUUCACCGGGGAAGAUAAUGACGGUACCCGGAGAAGAAGCCCCGGCUAACUUCGUG